AAAGAAGAUCCGGGAGUGUGGCUGGUAAUGCAGUAUUCAUUUAAUUGGGAGCAGACGGGCAGGAGAGGAUGCAGGAGACUGUACAAAGUUCAAGAAACGAUAUGCUUUAAUCAAGGUAAAAUGGAUGGAACAUCAGACAGCUCAUUAUAGAGACAAGUAAGCUCCAGUUCCAAAGUUGGUUGACAGAACAAGUCAUGACCUUGUGUGGAGGAAAAUGAGAUCCCGAGUGAAGUCUACAAUGUCAUUGACUCUGAAGAAGGACUCAGAGACCCAUUGGUGUUUAAUGACCCUUACUGGCCUAUGCAAUGGAAACUGGUAAUGAAAACAUCCCCAUGACCAGAAAUCCUCAGGAAUAAUUCCUCUUGACUGCAGUAAGUACCUACUUUUGAGAAACAGAAAGCUGAUGAGCUGCAGGCUUCCCUGCUGCUAAAUUCAUCUAACAAGGCACUCCUGAUGUGUUCUGAUUUUAAGGCCAAUGGGAACUCUAUAGAUUGGUUUGCUGCUCUCUUUCCUGAUAAAGAGAAGACUUUGAGAUGUGCAUGUUUAUGUUGGUAAAUAAAUUCUGGCAUGAAAUGAGAAUUCAGGAAUCAAGCCUAAGGCAUCAAAAACAGUAAUAAAGUGAAUUUGUAGCCAUAUUGUCUUUGGUGCUUCCAGGACAAAGUCUGCAUAUUUAAGG
rnacentral:lncRNA from 1 species